UGAUCCUUUCACAGGUGACCUAAAGAGAAGCCUUUGUGGCCCCGCAAGGGGUACCCUUCGCGACAAAAAAUAAAGAAUAUGGGUAUUAAAUCGCAAGUCAGCAACCAUGCUGGCCACACUUUCGAAUUGCGGGAAACCCCUAAAGCCCUCCUCCACCAAACUGACUGAGGAAACUCGUCAGCGGCCAAUGUUAACAGCAUUGGGUACGGUAACAGUGAAGAGGGAUGCACCAAUGGGCGAUCCGCAGCCAAGUCUCUACGAGGUUUCAUACCUUAUGAGGAAGGUUCACAGACUAAGUGGAAGUGGGUUGGACAAAUGUCCAGCUUAAGAUAUAGUCGGGCCCUACAAGAAAUCACAGGGGCAGUCACCAAGACCCAAACGUUCCGUAGGUGAACCUGCGGAAGGAUCAUUAACAAGUUCCUAACCGAAACUCUUUGGUCCGGCUCGCCGGUCAAAGUUUUACACCCUUUGUGAAAACUGAACUAUUUGCUUCGGCAGCAGGUCAGGGCGCCCCUUAAGAAGGGUACCCGCCAUCAGCCUGCCGGCAGCAUCAAACCAAACUUUUUAUACAACUUUUGUCUGAAAAACAUCAUUAUUGAAUGAAAAUUAAAACUUUCAACAACGGAUCUCUUGGUUCUCGCAUCGAUGAAGAACGCAGCGAAACGCGAUAGUUAAUGUGAAUUGCAGAAUUCAGUGAAUCAUCGAGUCUUUGAACGCACAUUGCGCCCAUUGGUAUUCCGAUGGGCAUGUCUGUUUGAGCGUCAUUACAAACUUUCGGUUGUGGCCUUUUGUUAGGUCCCUGACCGGUUUUGAGUCCGGUGACGCCUUCGCAAGAAGGCAGCCGGCUUUAAAGUCGCACGCUCUGCGGGUGACCCAAACCUGAACGAACAUAGUAGAAUUCAUUCAAACCUGUUCGACCAAGGCCAGGUCAGCUCCGCCUGAACAAGAACCUCUUUACUCACAGGUUUGACCUCAGAUCAGACAAGGAUACCCGCUGAACUUAAGCAUAUCAAUAAGCGGAGGAAAAGAAACCAACCGGGAUUGCCUCAGUAACGGCGAGUGAAGCGGCAACAGCUCAAAUUUGAAAUCUGAAGUCUUCGGCUUCCGAGUUGUAAUUUGUAGAGGAUGCUUCGGUUGCAGCCCCGGCCUAAGUUCCUUGGAACAGGACGUCGCAGAGGGUGAGAAUCCCGUACGCGGCUGGCGGCUUGCUUCCAUGUGUAGCUCCUUCGAAGAGUCGAGUUGUUUGGGAAUGCAGCUCAAAAUGGGUGGUAAAUUUCAUCUAAAGCUAAAUACUGGCGAGAGACCGAUAGCGCACAAGUAGAGUGAUCGAAAGAUGAAAAGCACUUUGAAAAGAGAGUUAAACAGUACGUGAAAUUGUUGAAAGGGAAGCGCUUGCAAUCAGACUUGCUUUCGGUUGAUCAACGUUCCUUCUGGUUCGUGCACUCUGCCGUUCGCAGGCCAGCAUCGGUUGAAGCGGCGGGACAAAGGCUCCGGGAAUGUGGCUCUCUUCGGGGAGUGUUAUAGCCCGGUGCGCAAUGCCGUCAGCUUCGACCGAGGUCCGCGCUCACGCUAGGAUGCUGGCUUAAUGGUUGUAAGCGGCCCGUCUUGAAACACGGACCAAGGAGUCUAACAUCUAUGCGAGUGUUUGGGUGUCAAACCCAUACGCGUAAUGAAAGUGAACGGAGGUGGGAGUCUUCGGAUGCACCAUCGACCGAUCCUGAUGUUCUCGGAUGGAUUUGAGUAGGAGCAUAGCUGUUGGGACCCGAAAGAUGGUGAACUAUGCCUGAAUAGGGUGAAGCCAGAGGAAACUCUGGUGGAGGCUCGCAGCGGUUCUGACGUGCAAAUCGAUCGUCAAAUUUGGGUAUAGGGGCGAAAGACUAAUCGAACC
rnacentral:rRNA from 1 species